rnacentral:rRNA from 1 species
AGAGUUUGAUCAUGGCUCAGAUUGAACGCUGGCGGCAGGCCUAACACAUGCAAGUCGAACGGUAACAGGAAGCAGCUUGCUGCUUUGCUGACGAGUGGCGGACGGGUGAGUAAUGUCUGGGAAACUGCCUGAUGGAGGGGGAUAACUACUGGAAACGGUGGCUAAUACCGCAUAACGUCGCAAGACCAAAGAGGGGGACCUUCGGGCCUCUUGCCAUCAGAUGUGCCCAGAUGGGAUUAGCUUGUUGGUGAGGUAACGGCUCACCAAGGCGACGAUCCCUAGCUGGUCUGAGAGGAUGACCAGCCACACUGGAACUGAGACACGGUCCAGACUCCUACGGGAGGCAGCAGUGGGGAAUAUUGCACAAUGGGCGCAAGCCUGAUGCAGCCAUGCCGCGUGUAUGAAGAAGGCCUUCGGGUUGUAAAGUACUUUCAGCGGGGAGGAAGGUGUUGUGGUUAAUAACCGCAGCAAUUGACGUUACCCGCAGAAGAAGCACCGGCUAACUCCGUGCCAGCAGCCGCGGUAAUACGGAGGGUGCAAGCGUUAAUCGGAAUUACUGGGCGUAAAGCGCACGCAGGCGGUCUGUCAAGUCGGAUGUGAAAUCCCCGGGCUCAACCUGGGAACUGCAUUCGAAACUGGCAGGCUUGAGUCUUGUAGAGGGGGGUAGAAUUCCAGGUGUAGCGGUGAAAUGCGUAGAGAUCUGGAGGAAUACCGGUGGCGAAGGCGGCCCCCUGGACAAAGACUGACGCUCAGGUGCGAAAGCGUGGGGAGCAAACAGGAUUAGAUACCCUGGUAGUCCACGCCGUAAACGAUGUCUACUUGGAGGUUGUGCCCUUGAGGCGUGGCUUCCGGAGCUAACGCGUUAAGUAGACCGCCUGGGGAGUACGGCCGCAAGGUUAAAACUCAAAUGAAUUGACGGGGGCCCGCACAAGCGGUGGAGCAUGUGGUUUAAUUCGAUGCAACGCGAAGAACCUUACCUGGUCUUGACAUCCACAGAAGAAUCCAGAGAUGGAUUUGUGCCUUCGGGAACUGUGAGACAGGUGCUGCAUGGCUGUCGUCAGCUCGUGUUGUGAAAUGUUGGGUUAAGUCCCGCAACGAGCGCAACCCUUAUCCUUUGUUGCCAGCGGUUAGGCCGGGAACUCAAAGGAGACUGCCAGUGAUAAACUGGAGGAAGGUGGGGAUGACGUCAAGUCAUCAUGGCCCUUACGACCAGGGCUACACACGUGCUACAAUGGCGCAUACAAAGAGAAGCGACCUCGCGAGAGCAAGCGGACCUCAUAAAGUGCGUCGUAGUCCGGAUUGGAGUCUGCAACUCGACUCCAUGAAGUCGGAAUCGCUAGUAAUCGUGGAUCAGAAUGCCACGGUGAAUACGUUCCCGGGCCUUGUACACACCGCCCGUCACACCAUGGGAGUGGGUUGCAAAAGAAGUAGGUAGCUUAACCUUCGGGAGGGCGCUUACCACUUUGUGAUUCAUGACUGGGGUGAAGUCGUAACAAGGUAACUGUAGGGGAACCUGCGGUUG